rnacentral:rRNA from 1 species
GAUGAACGCUGGCGGCGUGCCUAAUACAUGCAAGUCGAGCGAACGGACGAGAAGCUUGCUUCUCUGAUGUUAGCGGCGGACGGGUGAGUAACACGUGGAUAACCUACCUAUAAGACUGGUAUAACUUCGGGAAACCGGCGCUAAUACCGGAUAAUAUUUUGAACCGCAUGGUUCAAAAGUGAAAGACGGUCUUGCUGUCACUUAUAGAUGGAUCCCCGCUGCAUUAGCUAGUUGGUAAGGUAACGGCUUACCAAGGCAACGAUGCAUAGCCGACCUGAGAGGGUGAUCGGCCACACUGGAACUGAGACACGGUCCAGACUCCUACGGGAGGCAGCAGUAGGGAAUCGUCCGCAGUGGGCGAAAGCCUGACGGGGCAACGCCGCGUGAGUGAUGAAGGUCUUCGGAUCGUAAAACUCUGUUAUUAGGGAAGAACAUAUGUGUAAGUAACUGUGCACAGCUUGACGGUACCUAAUCAGAAAGCCACGGCUAACUACGUG